GUCACAGGUGGUGCGGCACGCUUAGACGAGCAGCACCGAAUGCGCAGUACCUAACGAAGACGGUAAUAAG
rfam:Pseudomonas sp. Bc-h sc_009, whole genome shotgun sequence.